AGCACAUUGACAGCAAGUUCCGCUCUAUUGAGUGACAGAAGAACAAACUAAAGAAUGUUGACUUUAACAUCCCUCCUCACGAUGUGUAUGGUGGGACUGUUGGUGACGUGGGGUUGGCUGCACUGGAAAUAUCACAGGCUUAUCAGGGCUGUCAGCAAACUGGAAGUACCUUUUUUCAGUUUCCCAAUUCUGGGACACAGUCCCUACACUCUACUAGGACAUGAAGGAAUAACAGGACGGAUUUUAAAAGGGGGAGUGGAAAUGCUGGAACGUGGAGGACCAC